UACGGGGGGAGCAAGCGUUGUUCGGAUUUACUGGGCGUAAAGGGCGCGUAGGCGGCCACGCACGUCCGUUGUGAAAUCGCCCGGCUCAACUGGGCGGGGUCGGCGGAUACGGCGUGGCUGGAGCAAGCUAGGGGGCAAUGGAAUUCCCGGUGUAGUGGUGGAAUGCGUAGAGAUCCGGAGGAAGACCGGUGGCGAAGGCGGUCUGCUGGGCAGUUUCUGACACUGAGGCGCGACAGCGUGGGGAGCAAACAGG
rnacentral:rRNA from 1 species